ensembl:snoRNA U3 Small nucleolar RNA U3
GUGCCACCACGCCUGGCUCAUUUUUAUAGUUCUUUGCUAGAGAAGUCUCUCUGACUGUGUAGAGUACCAGAGACCACGAGGAAGAGGCGUAGUGUUCUCUCCUGAGUGGGAAGCUGGCUCUGGGUGUUGUUUUGUGCAGCUGCCCAUCGCCCAUUGAUGAUUGUUCUUCUCUCCCUUGGGAGAGUUGGAGAGAAUGCAGCCUGAGUGAGU